GAUGAACGCUGGCGGCGUGCCUAAUACAUGCAAGUCGAGCGAACAGACGAGGAGCUUGCUCCUCUGACGUUAGCGGCGGACGGGUGAGUAACACGUGGAUAACCUACCUAUAAGACUGGGAUAACUUCGGGAAACCGGAGAUAAUACCGGAUAAUAUAUUGAACCGCAUGGUUCAAUAGUGAAAGACGGUUUUGCUGUCACUUAUAGAUGGAUCCGCGCCGGAUUAGCUAGUUGGUAAGGUAACGGCUUACCAAGGCAACGAUGCGUAGCCGACCUGAGAGGGUGAUCGGCCACACUGGAACUGAGACACGGUCCAGACUCCUACGGGAGGCAGCAGUAGGGAAUCUUCCGCAAUGGGCGAAAGCUUGACGGAGCAACGCCGCGUGAGUGAUGAAGGUCUUCGGAUCGUAAAGCUCUGUUAUUAGGGAAGAACAAAUGUGUAAGUAACUAUGCACGUCUUGACGGUACCUAAUCAGAAAGCCACGGCUAACUACGUG
rnacentral:rRNA from 1 species